UACAGAGGUCUCAAGCGUUGUUCGGAAUCACUGGGCGUAAAGAGUACGUAGGCGGUUAUGUAAGUCAGGAGUGAAAGGCAGGGGCUCAACCCCUGGACUGCUUUUGAUACUGCGUGACUUGAGUAAUGGAGGGGGAACCGGAAUUCUCGGUGUAGCAGUGAAAUGCGUAGAUAUCGAGAGGAAGACUCGUGGCGAAGGCGGGUUCCUGGACAUUAACUGACGCUGAGGUACGAAGGCCAGGGUAGCGAAAGGG
rnacentral:rRNA from 1 species